CCUACGGGGGGCAGCAGUGAGGAAUAUUGGUCAAUGGAUGAGAGUCUGAACCAGCCAAGUAGCGUGAAGGAUGACUGCCCUAUGGGUUGUAAACUUCUUUUAUAUGGGAAUAAAAUGUUCCACGUGUGGGCUUUUGUAUGUACCUUAUGAAAAAGGAUCGGCUAACUCCGUGCCAGCAGCCGCGGUAAUACGGAGGAUCCGAGCGUUAUCCGGAUUUAUUGGGUUUAAAGGGAGCGCAGGUGGAUUGUUAAGUCAGUUGUGAAAGUUUGCGGCUCAACCGUAAAAUUGCAGUUGAAACUGGCAGUCUUGAGUACAGUAGAGGUGGGCGGAAUGCGUGGUGUAGCGGUGAAAUGCUUAGAUAUCGCGAAGAACUCCGAUUGCGAAGGCAGCUCACUGGACUGCAACUGACACUGAGGCUCGAAAGUGUGGGUAUCAAACAGGAUUAGAUACCCGAGUAGUC
rnacentral:rRNA from 1 species